UACAGAGGUCUCAAGCGUUGUUCGGAUUCAUUGGGCGUAAAGGGUGCGUAGGCGGCGCGGUAAGUCGGGUGUGAAAUCUCGGAGCUUAACUCCGAAACUGCAUUCGAUACUGCCGUGCUUGAGGACUGGAGAGAGACUGGAAUUUACGGUGUAGCGGUGAAAUGCGUAGAUAUCGUAAGGAAGACCAGUGGCGAAAGGCGGGUCUCUGGAACGCAACUGACGCUGAGACGCGAAACGUGGGGAGCAAACAGG
rnacentral:rRNA from 1 species